UACGGGGGGAGCAAGCGUUGUUCGGAUUUACUGGGCGUAAAGGGCGCGUAGGCGGCGCCGCAAGUCGACUGUGAAAUCUCCGGGCUUAACCCGGAAAGGUCAGCCGAUACUGCGGGGCUAGAGUGCAGAAGGGGCAACUGGAAUUCUCGGUGUAGCGGUGAAAUGCGUAGAUAUCGAGAGGAACACCUGCGGCGAAGGCGGGUUGCUGGGCUGACACUGACGCUGAUGCGCGAAAGCUAGGGAGCGAAGCGGG
rnacentral:rRNA from 1 species